CCAAUAAGUACAUGUUGAUUUAAUUAAACAAGAAUUAGUGAAUUAGUGAUAGUAAAAUAUACAAAAGCACAUUUUAAAGGAGAAUUGUUUAUCUCAUUUUUAUUCUUAAUAUAACUACAACAUUUGACAAUUGUUUAAUGUGCUAUCUACUACAUAUUUUGUUGUUUAGUAUGCAGCUAUCUACAGAAAGAACAUUAUCUACCAAUGUGUGUCAUACUACUAAUAUUUUUUUAUAGGAAUGUGCAAUAAAUACUAAUUUAGUUGAUAUUUCAACGUACACCAAGUCAGUUGAAGUGUUGUUUUUUUAAAAUUUUAAAUGAGUUAUUUAACAGUGGGUUAUUUUUACUGGCACAUCCUUGGGGACAAAGAUAUGUGUGCACAAUAUUUUAGGGAACGAGAAUUACGCAUAAACAAGAUUACAGGAAGCGGAACUGAAACACAAACAAUCAAAAUGCUUUGGAAACGUGUAAAAAACAAGUAUGGCAUUAAAUCAUGCAGAGCUACUCACUUGUUCGAAUAUCAACAUCAAGAAGAUAAUCGAUUCUUGAUUUGAUAAAAAUAAAUAUAUUCUAAAAUUAUAAUCUAAAAUUCAACUUAAGCAGCAAUUUGAACAUUGAUGUGGUUGAACAAUUAAUGUUUUAUUAUGUAGAUAGAUUAUUGAAUAGACGCUAUACUUGUAUACAUAUUAUCAAUGACUGUGCAGAACAUUAAUGACGCAGCUACUUGUGACCAGCUACCCGGAGCUGCACCAAUAUCUAUUACACAUUGGCCUGGUUUCAAUAUAGAAAAUCUAUCAUCCAUUUGCAGCAGUUUGAAUGCACUUCUACACCU